rnacentral:rRNA from 1 species
AGAGUUUGAUCAUGGCUCAGGAUGAACGCCGGCGGUGUGCCUAAUACAUGCAAGUCGAACGCGUUGGCCCGACUGAUUGAUGAUGCUUGCAUCUGAUUGACGACGGUUUACCAACGAGUGGCGGACGGGUGAGUAACACGUAGGCAACCUGCCCAGAAGCGGGGGACAACAUUUGGAAACAAGUGCUAAUACCGCAUGAAUCCGAAAACCGCAUGGUUUUCGGCUAAAAGACGGCUUCGGCUGUCACUUCUGGAUGGGCCUGCGGCGCAUUAGUUAGUUGGUGGGGUAACGGCCUACCAAGACGAUGAUGCGUAGCCGAGUUGAGAGACUGAUCGGCCACAAUGGAACUGAGACACGGUCCAUACUCCUACGGGAGGCAGCAGUAGGGAAUCUUCCACAAUGGGCGCAAGCCUGAUGGAGCAACACCGCGUGAGUGAAGAAGGGUUUCGGCUCGUAAAACUCUGUUGCUGAAGAAGAACGUGCGUGAGAGUAACUGUUCAUGCAGUGACGGUAUUCAACCAGAAAGUCACGGCUAACUACGUGCCAGCAGCCGCGGUAAUACGUAGGUGGCAAGCGUUAUCCGGAUUUAUUGGGCGUAAAGCGAGCGCAGGCGGUUUGCAAAGUCUGAUGUGAAAGCCUUCGGCUUAACCGGAGAAGGGCAUCGGAAACUGGCUAACUUGAGUACAGAAGAGGACAGUGGAACUCCAUGUGUAGCGGUGGAAUGCGUAGAUAUAUGGAAGAACACCAGUGGCGAAGGCGGCUGUCUGGUCUGUUACUGACGCUGAGGCUCGAAAGCAUGGGUAGCGAACAGGAUUAGAUACCCUGGUAGUCCAUGCCGUAAACGAUGAGUGCUAGGUGUUGGAGGGUUUCCGCCCUUCAGUGCCGCAGCU